AGGUCAUUUUGUAGGGCUUGUGGGCUGUGAAACCAAGAGCUCUUAACGCUAUGACCAAAUAUUGAAGUCUUCCACAGGAUGUGAUGGCCACUAGGAAACAAGACU
rnacentral:snoRNA from 1 species